ensembl:lncRNA
UGGGUUUCCCGGUCGUGUCGGGGGUGUGGCGCAGGUUGCCCCAGUGGGCCUGAAUGUGCCUCCGUGGGGCACCUUGUUGCCGUGUUGGGGGGCGGGGAGCCGGCCUUGGGGAUCCAUCUUUCGGGCCCUGGGACGUGGGAGAAGAAUGCCGGGGCCUCUCUCUGUGCCCCUGGCACGCCUCUGUGCAGGCCGGGCCUGCACCCCCCUCCAGGCAGGGUCCGUGUGGCUGCAGACACCCAGAGAGAGGGGAGGCUGGGGAGGCUGGGGAGCCGUGGCAGCCCGAUGCAGUGCGGGUCUCCAGGUGGAGGGGCCCUGGUCCCCUGGCGCCAGCGUGGCCCUUCCUCCUUGUGGAAACCCUUGUGGUGUGUGUGCUCUCUCGCCCUGACCCAGGAGAGCAGCAUGGCGGACCCCUGAUCUUGUGGCGUGCCACCGCGCGAGGCCGAGGAGCUCCCGCAGACCAGUGGGCGUGGCGUCCUUGUCGCGGCUCUGUGGAGACCUGGCGAUGGAGAGCAGCAUGGCGGACCCCUGAUCUUGUGGCGUGCCACCGCGCGAGGCCGAGGAGCUCCCGCAGACCAGUGGGCGUGGCGUCCUUGUCGCGGCUCUGUGGAGACCUGGCGAUGGUGAGCGGCCCCUGUCCUCAGUGGUGGAGAACUCGCCCUUGGGGCGCUCGUCUGUCCGGGAGCCCCGGGCCAGCCCCGCUUCUCGCGGGCUUUGGCCCCGGCAGGCCAGCUCCGGGGCGUGAGGGGAGCGUCCCGUCCUGCCCAGUGGCUCGUCUGUCUGGGCACGCCCCCAAACGCUGCCGUGAUGGAGCGGGUGGAUGUCCAGGUGCGGAGGCCGUGAAUUUGCCUUGCGGCGGCGGAGCCCGUGCUCGGAUCGAUGAUGACUCCCUCUAAAGCAUUCCUUGGAAAUCUGAACAAAAUGAGUGAGAACUCACUACCGUCUCCUCAUCGAAACUGAGGUCCGGCACGUGGCGGCCACGGGGCUCGGGGGUAGAUGGGCCCUUGGCCUUGGGGCCUCUGGUGUCAGCAGCCACUCGGGUGAGGUCUGGGGAAGGCGGCCGCCUGCCGGGCCCAGGAAGCAUGGGGCCCGUCGCCCGGCGCUGGCCUCGGGGGAGAGGCCGCGUGCCCGAGCGUGCUGGAGAUCCCGGGCGGCCUCCCGCCGGCCUUGGGGUUUCGCAAGCCGUCGCGGGGGCCGAAAUUUGGGCCCGGCCCGCGAGGCAAGUGUGCGGCCCUAGGGCCCCAGGGGCGUCCUGGCCCAGGCCGGGCGCCCUUCUCAGGAUGCUGUGGGGAGACGGGAUCCCGGCAGGGUAGUGUUCUCUUUCUGCUCUGGGGACCCCUGAGGGCCACCUGCUGCAGGGGGUCUGUGGUAGCGGGGCCCUUGGAUCAGGGCCGUCCCCCAUGGGAGGGGGGGAGCCUGGGAACCCCUGAGGGCGCUCCCCUGGGACGUCCAGGGAUGUUGGGGCGGAGGCUGGGGCUGGGUGGCGAGAAGGGGCAGCUGAAGUGGUGAGCGACAGGCGGGCAGAGGGAGCCUGCCGGGACGUGGGUGGACAGGCCACGUCUGGAUGGGCGAGGGGCUCUGGAGGAGGUGCCCUGGCCUCAAGUGGGAUGGCGUCAGCGGCUGUGGGAGGCCCGGGUAGGGAAGGACCGCGCGGGCAGGGCGGGGACGGUCUUGCAUGUGGCCUCUCCUCUGGGAGGCGUGGCUCCCCGGGGGUCUGGGGAAGGCAGCCGCCAGGUCCCUGGGCCGCGGCGCGGACCGCACCUUGGGGGGUCCUUUGGGAGGCCACGGGUCGGAGUCCUUCCCGGUGCACGGUCUCCCUCUCCCUGGAGGGUGCGAUGCCGAGCCCUUGGACG